UUGCAUUGUUUAUAGUAAAUUCAAGUUGUUUUUGUUUUUGUUAUUGUUGUUGUUUAUCUGUGUAGUAUUGUUUUGGUAGGAUAAAAAGAGAGCCAUGAAAUCAGCAAUGUGGACGUAAUCUGGAGAAACAUGAUUACUCAUCGUAUAACUUUAAGCAACUUGCUUUACUUCUCUAGGUCUCCAUUUCACCUAUAAAAUUGAGAUAACAAUGCCUAUGGUUGAGCUGUUGUGAGGAUUAUAAGAUGACGUGUACAAAGUGCUUAGAACGAUUCUAUACUCACUAUCCGGAGGCUUACAGAAAAGUCGGGAACAUGAGCCACUGCUUCUCUGCUGUCUCCUUGUGUCCCCAGCACCAGCUGAGGCUGUGUGGGAAGCUCCUUUACCAACUCAACCUUAACAGGAUGUAAUGAUGAUGGUAUUGUGGUCCUGCUUAGACACUUUUCAGAACCAUUAGAGUUGAUCUUUAUGGCACUCAUCUGGGAACUCUGCCUUGACUUUACAGACAGGGUGGGGAAGAAUCUGGCCCUGGAAACCAUGGAUCCCCCCUUGUGAUCUACAGUCUUUUCUACUCAUUUCUUAAUUCCC
rnacentral:lncRNA from 1 species